CAUACCUAUUCGAAGGGAUAGGGUCGGCUCGGCCGGAUUUUACACAAGUGUUGCAUGGCUGUCGUCAGCUCGUGUCGUGAGAUGUUGGGUUAAGUCCCGCAACGAGCGCAACCCUCAUCCUUAGUUGCCAUCAGGUAAUGCUGAGUACUUUAAGGAAACUGCCAGUGAUAAGCUGGAGGAAGGUGGGGUUGAUGUCAAGUCAUCAUGGCCUUUAUGGAGUGGGCUACACACGUGCUACAAUGGUGUCUACAAUGGGUUGCAAGGUGCGCAAGCCUAAGCUAAUCCCUAAAAGACAUCUCAGUUCGGAUUGUACUCUGCAACUCGAGUACAUGAAGUUGGAAUCGCUAGUAAUCGUGGAUCAGCAUGCCACGGUGAAUACGUUCUCGGGUCUUGUACACACUGCCCGUCACGCCAUGGGAAUUGGUUUCACUCGAAGCU
rnacentral:rRNA from 1 species